GUUCAUCCCAUCCCAUCUGCCUCUGAGUAUCCAGGAACUGGACGAGAACCAGAUCGGGAGGUUUAGCUUCAGCUCAGAGGAAGCAGUUAUCCAUCUUAUGAACAGACAGAGUAUCGAGAACCUCCAGGUGGCGUUGGCCUGUCAGGUUACACAGAAGAACGCCUUGAUGAGUGCGGUCAAACUGGCUCAACUUUGUCUUUGGGCAGAAAGUGAUUCAUCUUCAGCUGAGGUUUGUGUUGCUCACUGGUGAAAAGUAAUUUCCGAGUAUUUCAACUUAGAAUAUUUGCCUUUCCUGUAAAGAAACUGUCAAAAUAACAGUUUUAAUGACUUCACACUGGACUUCAAACACAUAAUGGGACUGAGUGGUCAUUGUUGUGCAGGACAUCAAAUAAAAUCAUCCUGAUCAGAAGAUGUUCCCUGGUCUAAAUUAUGUUCAGAGGCAAUAAAAAGAAAAGCCUCAAUGUGUGUGUGAAAUAUUAACUGUAUAUGUGGAUGGAAUUGGGAUAAAAUAAACAUCUGGUUUUUUUGCAUUUUUAUGGUUGUGUUGAUUUGGAAACGGCACAAUACGUUGGAUCCACCGGACUGGCAAACAUAAUAUGAAUACUGCCCAAGGUCCAACAUGAGAGAAUAAUAGUGUUUACAUGCUGAUUUAUUAGUAAUAACAUGUAUUUAUGCCUCUCUGUACUGAACAAAACAGUCUGAAUACUGUGGUGUUGGGUGCUUUUAUAUAAACACACAGCUGUUGAAAUAUUUUGUUUAUCUUCCUUAUUCAUCUCAGAGGGAAGACAAAGAUGUAACAUGUAACUCCGGCUCUGGCAGUCACACAGGCGGCCUGCAGGAACAAUAUAAAUCUUUUCCCUCCAAACCCUCCAGGAGAAUUUCCACAAAACAGUGGUAUUGACUUACAGGACAAACUGCACCGGUAGUGAUUUAACACACAACACUUUAUUUUGCUCUUUAUGACAUAAAAUCUCAUUUGUUCCUCCAGGGUGAUGGGCGCAUUUGUGUCCAUCCAGCUGGAAAAAGUGGGUCUGCGUGACGAGAUGCUGAAUUCAUUUGUGAAGAAGAAACAGGCCGUGGGGGGGUUUCUAAAAACCCCGGAGGAGGCUGCAGAGAUCAAAAGGGAGCUCAUAAUCGACUUUCUCAGGAAAUUUAGCACACAAAUGUCCCUGCACUGUGUGAGAGCUCAGAUUGUUGGAUAUUACCACAAUCUGACCUUUCUCUUGGAAGACAUUCCCUACAUUCGUCAGUCCUACUUCAUGAUUGGACAGCCUGUUGCUGAUCGUUGUUCUGACCCCAGGAUUUUUCAGCAGUUGCUGUGUGCAGAUGGAAGAACUCUCCUCAACCUCUGGUACAUCCCCCACUUCACUGAAGUGCUUCGCAUGUUCAAAACACUUGAUGUUUCGGCAUGUGAUGAGGCUCUCCGUCACACUCUGCAGAUAGUGUCAGCUCUUCAUGACAUCAUUCAUUACCUGAUCAGCUUCUCCAAACUGGGAAACAGACAAGACUCUUUAAGAUGGGGGAGAGGACAUGAUACAGCAGGGUCACAUCUGGCAGCUGACUGGGGAGACACUGAAAGCAUCGGUAGGUUUAUUUUAUAAAUGAAGCGUUCCAAAAAAAUUGCAGUAAUGUUUAGGGAUCAGUCAGUGGUUGGAAAGAUGAAUAAAUCAGACUGCUAUUUGCUCAUGCAAUGCUGAGAGUGAAUAAGAUGGAAUAACUCAAAAUUGACACAUGACAGAAAAAAUACUUUUUUUUUUUUUUAAUCUAAAAGUGUAGUCAUGCAGGGCUGAGAUAAUAUGUUCCUUGGAAAUUUUAGCUGAAGACGUGCCUUCUUUGUGGCAUAGAUUCAACAUGUUGCUGAAAACAUUCCUCAGAGAUUUUGGUUUGUUCUGACAUGACAGCGUCACUCAGUUGCUGCAGAUUUAUUGGCUGCACAUCCAUGAUGUGAAUCUCCCAAUGCACCACAUCCCGAAAGCGCUCUAUAGGACUGAAAUCUGGUGACUGCGGAUGCAGUUUGAGUACAGUGAACUCAUUGCCAUGUUCAAGAAACCAGCAAGAUUAUUUGAGCUUUGUA
ensembl:lncRNA